GAUGAUGACUUAAUGAGCUGACAUGUGCACACAUGUGUACCCAUCAACCUAUAAUCUCACAGCUAGAUGAUGACUUAAUGAGCUGACAUGUGCAUGUCAUGUGUAUGGAUAUAUCCAUACAAACAUGCAUUAUAUAUAUCAAACCUGAAUAAACCUUUUGAUGUUUACUUAUUUGGAGGCCAGCACACAUGUGCCAUGUGCAGAGGUCAUAUGGCAGCUUGUGGGAAUCCAUCCCCUCUUGUAGGUACAAGUGAUUGAACUCAAGAUGGUUAGCUGGGUGGCAGGUGACUUCCCCUACUGAGCCAUUACAAUAGCCCUCAAAUAAGCCUGGUUUGGGAAUAUACAAGGAAUAGUUGCCAGUUUUUUACCUCCUAGAGAAUGAGACCAGACGGGGAUAGAAUCAGUGAGACUAAUUUAACUGGUUAAACUCUUGAAAAUCAAGACAAUGUAAGCUAGCUCUAUUUUCCAGUGCUCUUAGAUCUCCGGGGGAAUUGCCUUCUGAGAGUCUCUUAAGCAAUGAUGGUUGUAAUUUGCUGUGUGUGUAUUAUAUAUUUUACCUAGAGAAUUUGUUUCUAGUUCCAACUGAUCAUUUCCAUGCCACUUACAGAGAAAGUGGAAGGAGCAAAAACUGUUGUACUGACUGCCAUGAACUGACAGGUGCUCUUCUCCCUUUCAGAUGGAGCCACUCCAGAAGUCUCUAGAUAUAACCAGAGAGGACAACAGGAAACUGGCCUUGAGCCUAGAGCAAGCUCUCCAGACAAAUGGCCAUCUGCAGUCUAAGCUAGAUCACAUCCAAGAAAAACUGGAAAACAAAGAAGUUGAGCGGCAGAAUUUAGAAGCCUUCAAAGCUCGGGUGGCUGAGGAGUCGAAAGUAGAAGCAGAACUGCAUGCAGAGCGCAUUGAAGCGCUGAGAAAGCAGUUUCAGACUGAGAGAGAGACUUCGAAGAAAGCCGCACAGAGGGAAGUUUCUGAGCUGAAGAAAGCUCUUGACGAAGCCAACAUCAGAUCAGUGGAAGUGUCCCGGACAAACCGAGAGCUACGACAGAAACUUAUGGAGCUAGAAAAAGUAGUGAACAGUAACAAGGAGAAACUAAAGAAUCAAAAGGCCCAAAUAAAGCUGCACUUGUCAGCCAAGGCAAAUAAUGUGCAGAAUUUGGAGAGGAUGAAGCAAAUAGAAACAGAAUUGAGGCAGAUGGAGAUAAUUAAGGAUCAAUAUCAGAAAAAGAACUACGAACAGUCAUUGAGUAUCCAGAGAUUUGUAUCUGAAAUGAAUAACCUGCAGAAAGAGAUGGAGCUGUUAGCCAAGAGCCAAUAUGAAACCUCUGCACGGAAUAAACAGCAGGAGCUGAGACUAAUAGCUGAGCGGAAAAUGAGACAGGAGCUAGAAAAUCGGUGUGCGAUAACAGCUAAUCUGGAAGAAGCUCACCGAUGGUUUAAAUGCAGGUUCGAUGGCCUACAACUUGAGCUGACAAAAAACCGGUUGCAGAGGCUUCCCCGGGAAGACAGGUGGCCAGAAGAGGUGAGACUGACCUGGUUGUUGUAAAGAAGUUUGAAUUUUUCCUUCUCCAUUUCUCACUACAGAAGCCCUCUUAAUCAUCUAGCUGUUCAUCUAUAGGUUUCUUUCAACUACUGUUAGGAAACCAAUGGACUAGGUUUUUGUAGAAGUUUACCUUUCUCAAACUAU
ensembl:lincRNA